AUGUGCCUACGGGACGCAGCAGGGGGGAAUAUUGGGCAAUGGACGCAAGUCUGACCCGGCAACGCCGCGUGAAGGAAGAAGGCUUUCGGGUUGUAAACUUCUUUUAAGGGGGAAGAGCAGAAGACGGUACCCCUUGAAUAAGCCACGGCUAACUGCGUGCCAGCAGCCGCGGUAAUACGUAGGAGGCAAGCGUUGUCCGGAUUUACUGGGUGUAAAGGGCGUGCAGCCGGAGAGGCAAGUCAGAUGUGAAAUCCGCGGGCUCAACUCGCGAACUGCAUUUGAAACUGCUUCCCUUGAGUAUCGGG
rnacentral:rRNA from 1 species